rnacentral:rRNA from 1 species
AUUGAACGCUGGCGGUAUGCCUUACACAUGCAAGUCGAACGGUAGAGGGGCAACCCUUGAGAGUGGCGAACGGGUGAGUAAUACAUCGGAACGUGCCCAGUCGUGGGGGAUAACGUAGCGAAAGCUACGCUAAUACCGCAUACGACCUGAGGGUGAAAGCGGGGGAUCUUCGGACCUCGCGCGAUUGGAGCGGCCGAUGGCAGAUUGGGUAGUUGGUGGGGUAAAAGCCUACCAAGCCUGCGAUCUGUAGCUGGUCUGAGAGGACGACCAGCCACACUGGGACUGAGACACGGCCCAGACUCCUACGGGAGGCAGCAAUGGGGAAUUUUGGACAAUGGGCGAAAGCCUGAUCCAGCCAUACCGCGUGCGGGAAGAAGGCCUUCGGGUUGUAAACCGCUUUUGUCAGGGAAGAAAUCUUCUGGGUUAAUACCUCGGGAGGAUGACGGUACCUGAAGAAUAAGCACCGGCUAACUACGUGCCAGCAGCCGCCGUAA